rnacentral:rRNA from 1 species
CUACGUAGGGGGCGAGCGUUGUCCGGAAUGAUUGGGCGUAAAGGGCGCGUAGGCGGCGCGGUAAGUCUGGAGUGAAAGUCCUGCUUUCAAGGUGGGAAUUGCUUUGGAUACUGCCGCGCUUGAGUGCAGGAGAGGUUAUCGGAAUUCCCGGUGUAGCGGUGAGAUGCGUAGAGAUCGGGAGGAACACCAGUGGCGAAGGCGGGUAACUGGACUGCAACUGACGCUGAGGCGCGAAAGUGUGGGGAGCAAACAGGAUUAGAUACCCUGGUAGUCCACACUGUAAACGAUGAAUACUAGGUGUAGGGGGUAUCGACUCCCUCUGUGCCGCAGUUAACACAAUAAGUAUUCCGCCUGGGGAGUACGGCCGCAAGGUUGAAACUCAAAGGAAUUGACGGGG